rfam:Myotis lucifugus cont2.37197, whole genome shotgun sequence.
UGGGCAGGCGACAAGUGCGGGUCUGGCGGAGCGCGGUGGCGCGCGGAGACCGAGAGGCGACCGCGGGCGGCAGGGCCCCCGGCGGCGCGCCACUCGGCCGGGCCGAGAGUCGCGUCAGUCGGUGUUCCCGGCCGAGCGCGGUCCGCCUCCCUCUCAGCGCCCAUCCGGCCUGAGGGCGGCCAGAGGGCAUGUGGGACCCCACAAGGGCGCCACCGCCGGUGCUCGCCGGCCGCGGGUGAAGAGGAGAGUACGGCCUCACUCAACCCAGAGCAGAGAGGUGGCCCGGAGCGAAGAGGGGUUCCGGAGCGAAGAGGGGUUCCGGAGCGAAGAGGAGGUGCUGAGCGAAGAGGAGAUGCUGAGCGAACAGGUG